GAGUCCACUUGGAUAUCCCAAUUAGAAGAAAUAAAACUCGUAGAAAAUCAUUUCGCUCCCAAUCUCGCGUGCCCUAGUUCUCUUUCUUUCGCCGUGCCAUCUAUAGUCACUGCCAACAAUGUUUUUUCAUUCUUCUCAGCCGAUUUCCAUCUUUGUCCGGAGUCUAAACCGAAAGGGUCUCAUUGGGAGAAAAGGCUUCUAAUGAAUGAGAUUAUACCAUGGAUGGUACAAAGCCAAUUAUAGCAUGAAAGACCUUUUUGAUUGGGGGUUCUAACCAAGUGCAUGUGAAUUACUUUUAAUUUAAAAAGGAAUAAUGAAGAAAUGAUAUCGGAGGAAUGCAUCUAUAAGUAUAUGGGAAUAGGGA